GGUUCUCUAGAUCUCUCCAAACCACCUCUCAUAAAAAUCCACCAUCCUGGAUGCAUGGCAGCUACUCCAUCCCUUUGUUGGGUGAAUUCCAAAGUGAAGUAUGGAGCCCCAUGGCAGGGUGGCUGUGUGUGUCUGCAUGUGAGGAGAUUGGAGGGAAUCCCUUCUGGAUUCAAUCUCUUCCAAGGUCUACCCAGUUCCUCUCUGAACUUGGAGCAUUGUGAUGUUUGCACAUUCUACCCCACUGAAGCCUCUGCUCCGUGUGCAGUUGUGAUGAGAAAAAACCUAUAGCUUCUUCUGGUGCACAAAGAAGAAAGAGUCUAGUCCCAGAAUCAGAGAAAACUGGCACUGCUGUUGGAGUAUAUAAACUCAACGGUCAUGGCUUGCUCAGCGACAGAUGUUCCAGAUAAGCCAUAGUCUCCUUAACAAAUAUUUCAACAACGUUUUCCUUCCAAUUCUCUUUCUGCCGGAGCCAGAUCUCUGCAGCAGGGAAUAGCAGAUCACCUGGCUGGAUCUGUGAUUCCUCUCUGUUGCUGCCCACCCAGCACGAAAUCCGCUGUGCUAAUCACCAGGCCAGUGAUGAUCACCCUGCACCUGUCCCAGAAAAAAUGAUGUGCUGCUCUUUCCAUUGCAGCCAAGCCUCCGUGCUACAGUGUCAUCUCCUUGUGAUCUUUUCAGCACAUACAAAGGCUGAUUACCAUUAUUUAUGAGAAGAAAAAUAAAACCCUAAAAAUAUCUUGCUGUAUUACACCACACCAGUUCCCUACAGCUGAAAGCUUUUCCAGAAGUUCGCUUUGGAUCCCGAAACAAAUGAGAUGAGCCAUCAGUGUGUAACAGCAAGUCUGUAAAACAGCUAAUGAGUUUGUGUCUGUUUGAAAACAGAUUCUUUGUGGGGUGAGGUUGGUGGAGUGAUUACGACAAACAGCGCCUGCUGACAUCCAGAUUUGGAGGCUAAACUUGUGUGACAAUGAGAAGAGUGGGGAAAGAAUGUAGCUGGAAUUGGGAGGAUGUUGGAGAGCUGUGAGCAAGAGGCUGGGGUUGAAGCAGGACUCUGAGGCUGUGACUGCAGGCAAAUGGAAAACAAAACCAUGAAGGGAAAAUCUGCAAGAAGGAAGCAUUUGUACCCAGCAGCUGAACGGCCUGCAUUUGUACCCAGCAGCUGAAUGGGCAUCACUGGUGAUGAGGGAAGGAAAGGUUGGCAGUUGGAAGCAAAAUGGGGCUGACUGUGGAACUUCCCAAACCCCAGCAAGUCCUGUACUCAAGUAAAAGUAGAACAUCAAUCAAAAACAUCUUCUCUUUGUUGCUUCUCAUCCUGAAGAGUGAUGCACUUAUUUGAGUCCUUCACACAAUUUUUACAAUGCUGACUGCACUGUAGCACUCAAAUUCUCCCAUGGUCGGCAGCCCCAGUGAAUAAACUGAGAGGCAGAAAAUGGCCCUGGAAUUGAAGCUGGUGUAAAUCGAGCUACCCUGCUGACGUCAGCUGGGAUAGGAUCUCUUACUGAAAGACUCAUUCAGAAUACCAGUGCUCUUGCUAUCACAAUACAUGAUUUGUCUCCACUAAUAUCUAGACAGAUAUGGCUAUUAGAACAUUCAAGUAUCGAGUUAUUAUUUCCCCACUUAGAAAUACUCAGAGGAGCACUGGGCAUUUUGGUGCACACCCAGACCUGUGACUUUUUGCUGAUGCACAUAAACGUGUCUGUGCCAUAAAUUUAGCAGAGGAUUCAGAAGAUCCUCCAUCUGAAAAUGCAGAUUGGAUGCCUCUUGGAAUACAGACAUCCCAGCUCAACUGUGAGAAAUGAGCUCUGUGAUGGAACAACGGAGAGAAAUGCUGUACCAAGUUCUUCAGAAAAACCUUCUGGCUUUUAUAUCUAGGAAUAGCUCAUACUAACGAACCAUUAAUAAAUAGUGGACAUAAUGAAUGCUGGUUUUCAGCAGCCUCGUAUCUCGGAGACUCUGGAUACUCUGCUGGCCAAUAGGAUUGAAUGAAGAGGAGAAUAUAUGCAGGUUCACAUACAUAUUGACAUGCUAUUAAACCUUAUUUCUUUGGAGGAAUAAAGUUAAAAAGCAUUAUU